UCUCUGGUAGUAUAUCGGUUAGUACACGCGCCUGUCAUAGUCAUGGUUUUCGCAGCCCGAAAUUCGCGCGAAAGCUGGGUUCGACUCCCAGCCAGAGAG